rnacentral:lncRNA from 1 species
CUAAUGCUAGUUCUAGUAGUGGUGAAGUUAAUGUUGCAAGCUUUGCACGAGAACUACUUGCUGUAAUGCGGGAGUUGGGACAACAGCAACAGAUACCACCUUUGACUGGGCAACGAACCUUAAAUCAACAAAUACCAGUUGAUCAUCAGGAACCUAACCAACCAAUUAUUCAACCUCAAAUAGUACCUAACUCGAGGGAUCGAACUGCAAUGAUAGA